GAUUAAAGGAGUGCCUUCCCACCUCAAAGUCUGAAUUAAAGGUGGAGAAACGUUGGUUUGGAGGGUAAAGAUAAUCACUACCAAAUCUGAAGACCUGCGUUCAAUUCUUAGGACCCACACAGUGAAAGAAGAGAGCGAACAGUCACAAGUUGUCCUUUGACCUCUUAAUGACUGAUGAGGCUGAAGUAGACAAGCCUCCGGGCACCCCGUGAGCGUUCCUAGACUCACUUAACGGGUGGGAAGGCCCUCUCCGAAUGCUGGCGGCGCCAUCCCACCCGCUGGGGUCCCCGACUGCAGAAAACUGGAAAGCGAGCUGAGCACCAGCGUGCAUCUCUGCUUCCUGACUGAGGAUGCCGUGUGACCAGCUGCCUCCCGCUCCCGCUGCCUUCUCUGUCACAGCUGACUGUGUCUCAAACCGAGAGCCGAAACAAGCCUUUAAGUUGCUUCUUGGUGGGCGUUUUGUCACAGCGACACACAAGGAACUAAUUCCAUCACUGGCCGCUUUAACUCCUCUGUGAAUUGUCUGCUCUCCUCUCCAACUUCCUACCCCAGUACUUGGUCAUUUUUUUAAGGGGCUAAUGGGACCUUUGUUUAGCUUUUGGAUGCUGAUCCUUUAUUACAUUCAUUGGAAAUA